CUGUGUGUUGCUUGGAGACGCGCAGCGCAACAUUUCGACUGUUGCUUCGCUUGGAACUAUUUUCACUGGCGGGACAGAAAUACACAAAGUAGGCUAUCUGGCGAUACUAAAAUAGGAGAGUGGUCCCUCUGUAUUUCUGUAGGGAGUGCUGGCAGCAUGUUCCGAGCCCCUGAGAUGCCAAGCUGGCACUGCCUGCUGUCAGAUCCGUCCAUGCUGGCUGACCUCGCCCUCACCACCCCAAAUGCCUCUGCCAGCCAGCCUGAAGCUUGAGUCCCUGUUGAUCUACACUGAGAUCUGAUAUGCUGAUAUAUACUGCCUAACAGAAUGACUGACAAGAUACUGACUGAUUCACCCAGUGCCUCAGGAAGGACCUCUUGCUUUAAUGAGGAUCAUGGGCAACAAAGUAGUACAGACAGAACAGUUCUGCCUCCUCCCAUUACAGCAGAACAAGAGACCAGGUCCAAAUCUACACGUCUGUGGGUUCACAUGUGAUCUUUGUUCUUUGUAAUGUAAGAUUAAUCAUUGAGGAACAGAUGUGACAAUAUUCAAUGGACAGAUUAAAUAGAUCAUUUGUUACACAAUCAACAUUUCCUGUAAACUAGCAAAACUAUGUGUUAUAGACUACUAAAUACAGAAAUUAUAAGAAUUUAUCACCUUAUUGCUUCUGACUGGCACCAGAUGGGCUUUGUAGAUUAACCUGGGCACCUUACUGUGACUAAAAGGAUCAAAAUAAUAAAUGUGCAACAAUAAUUAAACAUUUUAUCGCAAGAAAACUUUGUGUGCACCAUAGGCCUAUUUUGUCAGUGAUGAGCUCCGUAGUUUCCUGUCCACAGCAACAAAAACAAUGUGAUGUUAAAUUUUUAGUUAUUUUUAAUGAGUCGGUGAAAAAAGAUUCAAACAGCCUCAUUAGUUAGCGAUGCGGCUUGCAUCAGAUUCACUCUGCCAGUGAAACAUCAGAGCCUUUAAUGAGUUCGCUGCUGAGUUGACUCCCUGAACUGUGAGUCAUUUUUAAACAUUACUACAAUUAGGUUUGAGAGAUUUAAAUGCGUUUCUAUACUGAAUGUUCUUAUGACAAUGUGAAACCUGAAAAGAUUGCCUAGAAAGACCCCUCCCCCCACCCCUCCAAAAAAUAGCUGCAAUUCUCUGUAUUUGACCUGUCUCCUCUGUUGAUGUGAGAGAUGAAGAGAUGCUAUUGAAGUGUCUGUAGUGCUGUGUGUCAGACUGAGGGUCCGUCUGAAAGGUACAACAGUGUCAUGAUGGACUAAUCAGCAGGCACAGCCACUAGAGCGGCCUGUUUGUUUCUCUGUGAAAUACACAUUUUGCUAAUUGUUUAUAGUCAUUAAUCAAAUUUGUUGCACUGCUGAUAUCAGAGGGAAGAGGAGGAUGUGCAUGUGUUAUAGUCAGGAAAGAUCUCUCUCACUCUUUCACUGUUUUACAAAAAAAAAAAGGACAAAUGCAACAAUCAAUCAGAUCAAUGAGCAAACAUAAUUAUUUAAUAAUUAUCUUUAACUGUAAAUGUGAAAGCAUCAAAUUCUUACCCCAGACUGUGUGGUAAUGCUGAAGGUUUUAUUGAAUUUUGAUGGUCAGGAUGAUAUUUCAGUAUCAACAUUGAAGAAAAUCACCAUUAAGUCACAUUAAAUUUAUUUUAUACCUAGUUCAGUCAUGGGAACACUGAAGGGCUAAUGGUGAUUGGUCCUUUACAUGCAAUCUGCAAGCAAUCACAUCAUUACUGCAUAGCACAAGCUGAACGGCCUCUGCUGAUCCUCAACAUUUAAAUAGUCUGGUUCAGUGUUUGCUGUAAGCUUGUCCUGCCGCACGUUAUCAAAGUUCCUCUGAAGUCCUCCACCUCCCCAGCUCCACCUGCCUAGAUCUGCUACGGGAAAGUGCAUGAUUCAUGGGUUCACAGAGAUCGCCCCCCAGCAGUGAACCACUAAAAUUUCGAAACAGUUAUGACUUAACAAAGCCUUGUUUACUGAAAUCACAUGACUUUGGCAGUUUUAUAUGCUCUCCGAACCACUGAUUAAAAACAAGACAUUUGUAAAGGUUUCGAAGCUUCAUGCAGCAAUGUUUCGAAAGUGCUGAUCACUAGUCUGUGUAUCUAUUAGCAUUAGCAAGUCCAUACUUGCUUUGCAACAGCAACUAUUUUGAGAGUUGUCAUGAUUGAGAACUAACAUUUGCAAACAUUGCAAAGUUCUAUAAUUUGAGUUGCAUUUUGAACUCUCUGGGUUAUCAAAAAAAAAGUCAUUAGUGCAUGAUUAUUUGAUGUAUAAAUAAUAUUUGAAUAUACUCACCUGUAACCUGCGUCUAAUGAGUUUGCUAAAGAACAAACUCCCAACUUGCUAGAAGAAACCUCAGCAAGCGCAAACCUGGCUAUACCUUUUUUACCAUGCCAAUAAAGCCACUUGAAUCUAACACAGAGGAGCUUAGUGGACUCCCACAUCACUUGAAUCUGAUGUUCUUAGUAAAAUACUCAAAAUUUACCUUAUUCUUGUCUGAGACUUGGUCUUUCUCUGACUCAGUCACGUAAGCUGGGCUCAUGUUUGAAGUGAGUAUAUUUUGAGCUUUGAGUGGUUCUCUGUUUCAAACCAGACAUCACACAGUCCUGCCCUGAGGAAAACUAACAAAGCAACUGCCAAGACAACAGACUUUUCAGAUACACACGCAAACAUUCACACACAUAAAAACAAACAAUACAAUCAUUACACACAUAAACCUUUGCACUCAAAAAGAGGUCAAGAAAGAGGAGAAACGGAUACUACCAGUGGUUUCAUUUGAGCACUGUGGGGAACUCAUGCGUAAAUGUUAAACGCAAGUUUUUAAAGUGUUUUUUAAACGUGUUUUUAAAGUGUUUUUUAGAUAUACCUACAAAGUGUUAACAUUAAUUUUGAUGUUUAUUUAUGUGGUGUGAUCCAAUGCAGAUACAACCCUAAUUCCAGAACUGUAGGUUCUGUAGGUUUUUUCU